UACGUAGGGGGCAAGCGUUGUCCGGAUUUAUUGGGCGUAAAGAGCGUGUAGGCGGCCAGGUAGGUCAGCUGUGAAAACUCGAGGCUCAACCUCGAGACGCCGGUUGAAACCAUCUGGCUAGAGUCCGGAAGAGGAGAGUGGAAUUCCUGGUGUAGCGGUGAAAUGCGCAGAUAUCAGGAAGAACACCCGUGGCUAAGGCGGCUCUCUAGUACGGUACUGACGCUGAGACGCGAAAGCGUGGGGAUCAAACAGG
rnacentral:rRNA from 1 species